rnacentral:rRNA from 1 species
CCCGUAUACAUGCAAGUCGAGCGGCAGAUGGGAGCUUGCUUCCCUGUUGUUAGCGGCGGACGGGUGAGUAACACGUGGGUAACCUGCCUGUAAGACUGGGAUAACUCCGGGAAACCGGGGCUAAUACCGGAUGGUUGUCUGAACCGCAUGGUUCAGACAUAAAAGGUGGCUUCGGCUACCACUUACAGAUGGACCCGCGGCGCAUUAGCUAGUUGGUGAGGUAACGGCUCACCAAGGCGACGAUGCGUAGCCGACCUGAGAGGGUGAUCGGCCACACUGGGACUGAGACACGGCCCAGACUCCUACGGGAGGCAGCAGUAGGGAAUCUUCCGCAAUGGACGAAAGUCUGACGGAGCAACGCCGCGUGAGUGAUGAAGGUUUUCGGAUCGUAAAGCUCUGUUGUUAGGGAAGAACAAGUGCCGUUCAAAUAGGGCGGCACCUUGACGGUACCUAACCAGAAAGCCACGGCUAACUACGUGCCAGCAGCCGCGGUAAUACGUAGGUGGCAAGCGUUGUCCGGAAUUAUUGGGCGUAAAGGGCUCGCAGGCGGUUUCUUAAGUCUGAUGUGAAAGCCCCCGGCUCAACCGGGGAGGGUCAUUGGAAACUGGGGAACUUGAGUGCAGAAGAGGAGAGUGGAAUUCCACGUGUAGCGGUGAAAUGCGUAGAGAUGUGGAGGAACACCAGUGGCGAAGG